CACAGCCACCGCUGGUCACCACCGCCACGCCUCCUUUCAUGAGCGAACCAUCACGUCUUCUCCAAUCUUCAAGGCUGAAGCCAUUUUUCCUCAAAGCUUUCCUUUUUCGUGCUUUUCUCCUCUCACACAAAGAACAAACAAGGGUACGAACAACGAAAACACUUGGCGACGAAGUCAAAGGACAAAAGGAAGCGAGCCGACACGAGAAAGCAAGGAUGUGAUUGGGUUGUAGUUGCAGUUUAGGCAGGAAAUUGGCUAAGGCGAUGGAGAAUCUUCGAAGGAGCUUAACCUUUGUGCAAAUAGAGAUGAGGACUUGAAGGACAGUGGAGUACUCGACGAGUAGAGUCGGGUUUAAGGCUAGAGCCUUGGGUUAGAGAGCUUACCGUUAUUGGUUUAAGCUUGCAUAAAGAUUUUAGGAAUUUAUAUUUGAGGUUUCGGGUAGGUUCCGAUGCAUUACUUUCCUGCGGUUCCCCGAUGUGGAGAUCGUAGGGAGUAUGUCGGAUUCAUGAUGUCAUUGCAGAAUAGUUUUUGUUGAGUUGUUUCUAUUGGUUAGACUUUGUAGUUGGGAGUAUGCAUGACAUGUUUUGGAAAUACAUUUGAAAAGAAAAAAUAUACUCGUGUUUAUACAUUCUUUUGGAAAA